rnacentral:rRNA from 1 species
GAUCCUGGCUCAGGACGAACGCUGGCGGCGCGCCUAACACAUGCAAGUCGAACGAGCGAGAGAGAGCUUGCUUUCUCGAGCGAGUGGCGAACGGGUGAGUAACGCGUGAGGAACCUGCCUCAAAGAGGGGGACAACAGUUGGAAACGACUGCUAAUACCGCAUAAGCCCACGACCCGGCAUCGGGUAGAGGGAAAAGGGGCGAUCCGCUUUGAGAUGGCCUCGCGUCCGAUUAGCUAGUUGGUG